AUGUCGCUUGCCAAAGGGCUCAGCUCGAGCUCCACCGCCUCUCCUCCAGGCCCGACGGGAACGGUUCCUCCCUCGGCGACGCUCCCGCACCACCGCUUCCUCCGGCUGUCAGGCCCGGCGCGGUCUCGGCAGGCCCUGCGCCGAUGGGGAAGGGGCCGCCACGGCCUUGCCAAAGGGCUGUUUUCGUUCAGCGCAACGGCGUCAGGCGGCUCUUCCUGAGGCAGAGUCCUAGCACCGGAGCCCGACCCGGCCCUCCGGGGCAGCGCGUUUAGCACUCAGCCUCCAGUCUCGACGCCGAAGAAGCUACCGCCUCCAGAGAGCUGCACGCAUGCGCGCCUGUCGAGCCUUCGCUAGCCCUCAUCGGCUCCCGGCGCCUGCGUAUCGCCGGCACCGCGCUCUCCCCGAGGCACGGGAAAGGGGCCAGAGGGACUUGGUUCCGGAAGGGGGCGCUCUCGCGUCGGCGUUCUCGCAAAACUGGGGCAACAGUGGCUCUGCCUGCCGUGAGCCAGUCCUGCGUUGUCCUGUCCCUGCGGGUAGGUAAGACCUGCACUGUCUCACCUCCUCCAUGAAGUCUUCCCUGAUCAUUAUUGCCUUCAAUAAUACAUUAAAACACAUAGUAUUCAUCUGA